GUCUAUGGCUGUAUCACCCUGAACGUGCACAACUUUAUCUGAUCUCAGAAGCUAAGCAGGGCCGGGCCUGGUUAGAACUUGGAUGGGAGCCCAUUCAGUAUAUGCAUCUUGACUCCACAAACA
rnacentral:rRNA from 1 species